CGGGGUGUAGCGCAGCUUGGUUAGCGUACUUGACUGGGGGUCAAGGGGUCGAGAGUUCGAAUCUCUCCACUCCGACCA
rnacentral:tRNA from 1 species